rnacentral:rRNA from 1 species
CCUACGGGUGGCAGCAGUGAGGAAUAUUGGUCAAUGGACGAGAGUCUGAACCAGCCAAGUAGCGUGCAGGAUGACUGCCCUAUGGGUUGUAAGCUUCUUUUAUAAAGGAAUACAACGAGGCACGUGUGCCUUUUUGCAUGUACUUUAUGAAUACGGAUCGGCUAACUCCGUGCCAGCAGCCGCGGUAAUACGGAGGAUCCGAGCGGUAUCCGGAUUUAUUGGGUUUAAAGGGAGCGUAGAUGGGUUGUUAAGUCAGUUGUGAAAGUUUGCGGCUCAACCGUAAAAUUGCAAUUGAUACUGGCAGUCGUGAGUACAGUAGAGGUAAGCGGAAUUCGUGGUGAAGCGGUGAAAUGCUUAGAUAUAACGAAGAACACCGAUGGCGAAGGCAGCUUACUAAACUGUGACUGACAUUGAUGCUCGAAAGUGUGGGUAUCAAACAGGAUUAGAUACCCCUGUAGUC